UACGUAGGGUGCGAGCGUUAAUCGGAAUUACUGGGCGUAAAGCGUGCGCAGGCUGUUUUGUAAGUCAGAUGUGAAAUCCCCGAGCUCAACUUGGGAACUGCGUUUGAAACUACGAGACUAGAAUAUGUCAGAGGGGGGUAGAAUUCCACGUGUAGCAGUGAAAUGCGUAGAGAUGUGGAGGAAUACCAAUGGCGAAGGCAGCCCCCUGGGAUAAUAUUGACGCUC
rnacentral:rRNA from 1 species